ensembl:lncRNA
AUGCCGCCCCCUCCACCCCCCGCCCUCCGGAAGCUUUUACCACGUGGCAGAGCAGGGCUACAAAGCCGGGAGCGGAGGCACGGGGUGGGGGGAGGGGAGGCCGCCUGCGCCCAUCCCCCACCCGCGUGCCCAGCCUCCCCCGUGGGUGCGGGGUCCCGGGGCGCUCUCCGUGGCGGACUUCCUUCUCCAGGUGACCGCUUGGAUUUUGCGCCUCAGCGGCGGUGGCAUUUUAUGGGCCACGAUCUGCUUGGUUUAUGGAGCCGGCAGUGCAGGUGCAGAGUUAUAGGCUCCCGUUCUCACCCUGCAAAUGGACUACAGAGCCAUCUGUCAUCUUCAAGGCUAGGUUUUUUUCCAGCCCAUGAGUCACUUCCAGUCAGAUUCAAAGACAAAAGCCUGCUAAUUGAUCCUACCUCUGGAAAUGUGUCAUUGAUAACAGUGCCAUUUUAGGUCAGCAGUAGACUGCUCAGGGUCCUCCAAGAACCCAAGCUCCAUCUUGUAGCUCUGCCCUGCUCCUACACUCAUGGAGCCCUCCGAGUGCAGACGGUGGACAGGACGAGACUGAGAAGGUCACCCAGGGGCUGCACAGGCCAAGCCAGCCUGACUUUGGUCACGUGGUCACGCCUAACUGCAGAGGUAGCUGGGAAAUGCAGUCUGGCUGUAGCCCGAAAAGAAGCAGAGAGCAUGGACGACACGGAGGGCCCUUGCUGCAGGAACCAAUUCCUUCAUUGAUUCUUAUUUCUCAGAUGCCUAAUAAUUAUUUUUUACAAGUGUGAGGUUAAUAUCUACAGUAUUCAGGAUAUAAGGAACAGUACUUACAGAUUUCCUUUCUAAACCUUGCGGUAUGUAUUUGGACCCCUUGUCUCCCCCCAUCUCCUGGAAAUGACACUUCCGAUUUGCAUUAGUUACUGUGCUUCUGACUAGCACGGAGGAAUACGAGACAUGGCAGCAUGAAAUUCACUGCUACACCAGCUCAAAGGUGUUCUCUGGAAGAAAUUCCUCUUAUAUCUUAAUAUGAGAAAAGGUUAUGCUUCUCUUGAAUUCAUUUCUCUCUGAAUCUCAUGAACUUUUGGAAUCUUAAAAUAGAUUGUACUUCCCACUUGCUUAGGCCGCUAAGAAACUCAGAGCCAGAGUUGGCAUCAUUCUGCAGACACAGAACAGGACUUCCUCGUAUUUCCUUCUGUGUAUAACUUCUACCCAUCUUCAUUAUUUUUCUAUCAAAAACAAAAAAGUUUUCCCUUGACCCUAAUUGUUCUGUUUAUUUUGUAUUUGUAUUUGGUAGCUAGAAAAUUUCCAAGCCAACUGUGGUAUAUAAUGAAUGAAAAUAAAUAAUCUCAUGUACUGUGGAGCACCGUGCAUGAAUUCAAUCAUAUUUGCAAUCUGGGAGCUGUGCUAGAUUCCAUCUCAGUAAUGGGUUCUAUUCAGAAAGACACAUGUGACAGAUACUCCCCAGCUGUCAUGUUCCUUCAGUGCACAGGAAGCCCUGGGAGCAGCUGAUCCUCCAAGCUGAUCUCAGGCCAGUGGCAUUCUUGGUAUUGGCACAAUGUCUAGAGGUGAAGAGGGCUGGGAGUAGUGCGUGUGACAAAACUGCUCCAUUAGCUAGGGCCUUUGCUUACUGAGGAGCCGUGAACACAUGGGACCCGUGGAACUAGUUUAGGAAUCCACCCUGUGUUCAGAUUACAAAUCUACCAGGGCUAAAGAGCUGAGUGAUCUUGAGCAAGACCCUUAACAUCUCUGGGCCCCUCAUGUCUUUAUAUGCAAAAUAAGGGCAUUGGAUUACUGGAUGGAUAAUCCCAUUCUCUUUCAGCAGAAUAGAUCUGUGAUCAAUUUUUCAUAUAAACAACAAUAAUUAAAUUUCAACACUUCAUCCAGGCCUUUUAGAAAUAAAUGACUAUACAAGAUGGAAAUCUAGAGGGCAAUCUACAAAUGGGUAAGCCAGGCUAGUGACAAAUGUAUUCGGGUGCCACCAUGAUGGAAUGGAGUUGCUUCUGUUUCCACUUUGAAUAACAGAAGGUCAGUUUCAAUGUAUGAGUAUGGAGGUAAAAGCUUGUACUAAGGAGCUUCAAAGAGCUCGUGGAAAAAAUGAAAUUAAAAGAUGCAUUUAUUUCUGUUCAAAAAGUUUUAGAAUUCAUGCAUAGUUUUUUUUUUCCAUAGUAUGCAUUUUUCCUUGAACUUUCCGAAGACCCUGCGUUUACACAAGGUGUAUUAAUUGAAUUGGAAUUUGGCUGGGGCACCUGGACAGUUAAUCCAUCUCUUGGCUUCAAGAAUCUGACACUUCCCUAAAAACACUGUUUGCAGAAUUUUUAUGGAACCACCCCAGUUUCCUGAUGGCUCAGGUCAAUGGGAACAACACAAAGCAUCUCUCAGCUAUACUGCAGGAGGACUUUGAGCCUGCCACGCUGAGUCUUUGCUUGCAGUUCAGGACCAAGAGCUAAAAACGCAUCUUAUGGUGAAACAAGGGAUUAGCUAAUCUUCCAGGCUAAUGGAGGGUCAGCUAAAAAUGUUUCCUGUGUGUAUUGUGAAACCCUGAGAUGACAGAGAAGUUCCUCCCGCUGCUCUCUGAAUUUCCCCUCCCCCAUGACUUCCUUUGGUCACACAGGCCAUUAUCUGAAGCAAACUGGCCAGAGCAUGAUGUCGUAACUUUCCUUGGGUCAUGCUUCCAAAUUAAAUCUGCUUGAAAAAGAAGACUAGAAAACGUUUAAAUCUUGCUUUGAGUCCUAGAGGAGUUUGCUAAUUUCUCUUCAUCUGUUGGCAAGUCUGAUUUUUUUUUAACAAACUCCUGCUCCGAAUACUUUGGAGAUAAAGACAAAAGCAAAACACGCUAGAAAGUGGGCGCCUCAGGAAGAAGAGCCCAGACACCUGUGCUUAGAUAAAAAUGCCCUGACAGAGCACAGGCUGCCACCCGUGAGUAUCACCCAGGCAGCCAAGACCAAGCAUCGACUUUGAUGAGUAAAUGUUAAUUGCAUUGCCUUUGACUCAUACUGUGUGCACUGAAAAUUCUCUUGGGCCUUACUUGCAUGAGGGUUUCUUUUUUCUUUAUUUCUUUUUUUUUUUUAAGGGUAAAGGCAUGGGAAUUUCCCAACCACAAUGUUCCACUUUAUUUGAUAUCUUCUUCUUUCUCUUCUCAGUUUCUUUUCACUGCAGACCAGAGUAAAGGCAAAUGCGUGUUAUUUGGUAGCCGAUAGGCACCAAGGAAAAACUGACUAGCACCUUGCACAGCAAAGUAUGAAUCUGUAACCACAAACUCUCACAUUUACAUGUUACUGCCUAGCUAGUGGCUAGGCCUCAAACAUCUGCUCUCUUGUAACUGUGUUUUAUUAUUGUUUAAGCAGGGCCAUAAGAUUUCUUGCAUAAAAGAGUAGAUGAUUGAGUGUCUUCCAAUGAUAAAUUGCUGCUUUUGCCUGACCUCUUUCUUUAUUUCUUCAAUAAUAAAUCUAUUGUCAUGCAUUUAAUUACGGAAGACUGAACCACCCAAAAACUAGGGCUGGAAAUACACUCACCCUUUCCAACAGCAUGAGGUUAUUUCUCAUUAGUUUUAUUAGUGCCAUGAAAAUUCCAAAAUGAAACCCAACAAGAAUAAUAUUUUAAAUUGGAUCACAUUACCAGCUCAGAACUCUCCACAUACAUUGUUAAUUCCCUCCCAUGCUACACACAGCAAAGCACAUACGGCAUUUCAAAACUGAGAAAGUCAAAGCCUCACUGGAGAAGUCGCUAGCCACAGUUUCCUGCGUCCUGUUCACAGAGCUCAUUUGUUCAAUCAGAUUCCUCGCAGAACGCAUCCCUCACCAAGGUUCCUGCAAGAUUCCAUUCUGCUUAGUGUCUUUGUGAAAGCCCAUCCAUGACCAAGAAGCUGGAGGGCUGGGCUGGUUAACACACAAAUCAACCCCGGAAUUCCUGCCUCACAGCUGCCUGGAGAAGCAACAGUUAACUGAGCUCCGAGCAGAUCCUCAAGAGUAAAGGUUAAGAGGCAGGGUUUCAGUGAAAAUGUUUAGAAGCUGCAUUCCACACAGCUGGAAAUGAAGGGCUGAGCUAUUUUGUGGGGAAUUUGAAUUAUGUGUCCAUCCAAUCCAGAACAAUAAGUGGAUUUGUGUCCAGUAAUAAUAAUUCCUCAGUUAUAGAUACACUUGCAGUUUAUACAACAUUUCCCAGGCAUUCUCUCUCACUGAGCCUCAAAUACCUCUGUGCCAGCAGGGUUGGGUUGUUACUUUCCAUGCCCUUUGAGGGGUGACAACUCUUAAAGCUCCAGGAGGGGAAAUAGUUGGCCUUUUCUGAACCAGGGGUGUGCGACAAGCUGGAGCGCCCACCCGGGCCUCCCGAGGGUGCGUUCCGCUGCGCAGGCUGCCUCUGCCCUCCUUGAUUGCAGAAUCCACCCACUUAGCCAACAUUCCACUUUGCCCAGCCGGAGGGCUUCAGUCAUCUCAUAGCAAACGUUUCUCGGUCCCUUUGCAUCAUACUGAAACACAGAAGACAAAUGCCCAUCAUCAAGAAAGUUGUGGCCAGGAUGAACUAUGUGUCCUCCCCCCAAGCCCACACUCUAUUCUCUUGCCAUGUUUUUUUUUUUCCAUUGCUUUUGUAAUUCAAGCAUAUUAGAAAUUAGAGGAGAACUGAAACUAGGUAUAUGGUGACCAGAAUGUGGAAGGUGGAAUUCAUCUUGUUUCCAGGUUUUUUGAGUGGAAGUUCUGAAAGCAAGAGCAGUUGUGUCGCUGUGUUCUGUGCAGUGGCAUUUUAUUUUCCUGAAAACAUUUGUCCUUGCUACAAGUGGAUUAGAGGUUAGAAUGCAGGAUUGGCAGGCAGGAUUUGUGGUUUCUAUUAUUAGCCCUGCCACAGUUUUAUCUCACAAGGGUGAGCCCUGAGCCGUGGGGUUUAUUGGAGACGGAACUUGAUUGGGACUGGCCUUCCCCUGAAUGAGGGAUGGUGAACACCACAGCUGAGCAUCCGCCGAGGGUCAGGGUCCAGGGUACAGUGCGAGAGCCCCUCCGUCACUGACUGGAGGAGUUAGAGGACUCAAUCUUCGGCAGGCAGAAUUGCAGAA